UGCUAAGAAGAAGUGACCGUUUGAGAACAAAUGGAUAUUAUAUCAACGGACAACCAGUUAUUUUAUAUAAUGAUACACCUUACAGAUGGAGGUGCAGAACAGGUCGCCCUGUAAACCGCCCUGUAAAUGGGGAGGUAAUAUUUAGAGAAAGGUUUCAUAGUCAGGAGGAGAAAAUGGUUGACCAAGAAAACCAGAUGAUGGACACAUUUAGAGAAAGGUUUCGUAAUCAAGAGGAGAAAAUGGUUGACCAAGAAAACCAGAUGAUGGACACUCGGAUGCAGGGUUUUCAUAACGUCUGUCUCGUUAUCUUUGGCAUCUUCGUCACUUUUGCUUGUAUUUGUCGGAUUAUUUCCCUGCACUCGCGACCUUCAGAGUUACCUGUCACACCAACUUUAACAGACAUGGUUACAAUCUCUGGAAGUAAGGAUCAGAGAGAUCUCUCCAUGCUGCAGUUGAUGGAGUCAAAGCUUGACUACCUUCUACCACAAGCAGAUCUGUUGCCCAACUUUGCUCUGGAGUCUCAAGGUGAACCAUUACAAAUAA